GACUGCGUAGCUCAGUUGGCAGAGCAUUGGGUUAGUAUUCCAAAGGUCGUAGGUUCGAUUCCCACCGUGGCCA
rnacentral:tRNA from 1 species